rnacentral:rRNA from 1 species
GGCUCAGGAUGAACGCUAGCUACAGGCUUAACACAUGCAAGUCGGGGGGCAGCAUUUCAGUUUGCUUGCAAACUGGAGAUGGCGACCGGCGCACGGGUGAGUAACACGUAUCCAACCUGCCGAUAACUCGGGGAUAGCCUUUCGAAAGAAAGAUUAAUACCCGAUGGCAUAAUUAGACCGCAUGGUCUUAUUAUUAAAGAAUUUCGGUUAUCGAUGGGGAUGCGUUCCAUUAGGCAGUUGGUGAGGUAACGGCUCACCAAACCUUCGAUGGAUAGGGGUUCUGAGAGGAAGGUCCCCCACAUUGGAACUGAGACACGGUCCAAACUCCUACGGGAGGCAGCAGUGAGGAAUAUUGGUCAAUGGGCGCAGGCCUGAACCAGCCAAGUGGCGUGAAGGAUGACUGCCCUAUGGGUUGUAAACUUCUUUUAUAUGGGAAUAAAGUUUUCCACGUGUGGAAUUUUGUAUGUACCAUAUGAAUAAGGAUCGGCUAACUCCGUGCCAGCAGCCGCGGUAAUACGGAGGAUCCGAGCGUUAUCCGGAUUUAUUGGGUUUAAAGGGAGCGUAGGUGGACAGUUAAGUCAGUUGUGAAAGUUUGCGGCUCAACCGUAAAAUUGCAGUUGAUACUGGCUGUCUUGAGUACAGUAGAGGUGGGCGGAAUUCGUGGUGUAGCGGUGAAAUGCUUAGAUAUCACGAAGAACUCCGAUUGCGAAGGCAGCUCACUGGACUGCAACUGACACUGAUGCUCGAAAGUGUGGGUAUCAAACAGGAUUAGAUACCCUGGUAGUCCACACAGUAAACGAUGAAUACUCGCUGUUUGCGAUAUACAGUAAGCGGCCAAGCGAGAGCAUUAAGUAUUCCACCUGGGGAGUACGCCGGCAACGGUGAAACCCAAAGGAAUUGACGGGGGCCCGCACAAGCGGAGGAACAUGUGGUUUAAUUCGAUGAUACGCGAGGAACCUUACCCGGGCUUAAAUUGCAUUUGAAUAUAUUGGAAACAGUAUAGCCGUAAGGCAAAUGUGAAGGUGCUGCAUGGUUGUCGUCAGCUCGUGCCGUGAGGUGUCGGCUUAAGUGCCAUAGCGAGCGCAACCCUUAUCUUUAGUUACUAACAGGUCAUGCUGAGGACUCUAGAGAGACUGCCGUCGUAAGAUGUGAGGAAGGUGGGGAUGACGUCAAAUCAGCACGGCCCUUACGUCCGGGGCUACACACGUGUUACAAUGGGGGGUACAGAAGGCAGCUACCUGGUGACAGGAUGCUAAUCCCAAAAGCCUCUCUCAGUUCGGAUCGAAGUCUGCAACCCGACUUCGUGAAGCUGGAUUCGCUAGUAAUCGCGCAUCAGCCAUGGCGCGGUGAAUACGUUCCCGGGCCUUGUACACACCGCCCGUCAAGCCAUGAAAGCCGGGGGUACCUGAAGUACGUAACCGCAAGGAGCGUCCUAGGGUAA